UACAGAGGGUGCGAGCGUUAAUCGGAAUUACUGGGCGUAAAGGGCGCGUAGGCGGUCUUAUAAGUUGGUUGUGAAAUCCCUGGGCUUAACCUAGGAACUGCAAACAAUACUGUGAGACUGGAGUGCGGUAGAGGGUAGUGGAAUUUCCGGUGUAGCGGUGAAAUGCGUAGAUAUCGGAAGGAACACCAGUGGCGAAGGCGGCUACCUGGACUGACACUGACGCUGAGGCGCGAGAGCGUGGGGAGCAAACAGG
rnacentral:rRNA from 1 species